rnacentral:misc_RNA from 1 species
AAUGUUUUUUUUUAUUUAUUUUUUGUUAUGAAAUUGAUCUCGGUUUCGAGUGUGCGAAACCUAAAAUUCGAGAUUAUUUUGUUCAUUUUACUUUUGCGCUAUCUUUCUAGCAAUGAAGCAGAGCAUUAUGGUAUUUUGACUUUUGAGAAUUAUCUAUAAAAUUAGUAUUUUUAAUUUAUUCGGUUGUAAGAUUUUGAGUGAUUGGUUUAUUUUUGAGAAGACUUUAAUUGCCUACUUCACAGGAUGUUGAAUUCUUUUCUUUUUUUAAUUGCAGAUUACUGCAAUAUGGGUUUCAA